CGGGGUGUAGCGCAGUCUGGUAGCGCAUCUGGUUUGGGACCAGAGGGCCGGGAGUUCGAAUCUCUCCACCCCGACCA
rnacentral:tRNA from 1 species